rnacentral:lncRNA from 1 species
CAGAGAGCAGCUUCUGGUCUGCUAGCCUGCCGCCCUCCUCACUGGGACAAGCAGUUCUGCACACAAGGGAGAUGUCACAUUCCCACCACCGUCAGGGUCAAAGAUGGAGGAAGGUCUGGACUCAGCGAGAGACUCUGAGCAAACGGGAAAGGGUGUUUCUUGGGCUUUCUGCAGAUUUGCUGGGAUCAAGGUUGUCUUGGUGGAGCCUGAGCUGCUAGCUUCUCUGCUAUUCUCCACUGGCUUUUCGCCUCUGCCUUCCCACCUGAACCACCUACUGUCUGUUAUUUGCUUUUAUAUUCAAAGAUUUAUAAACAAAUCCUUCCCUCAGGGAAAUAGCAAGCUUCUGCAGUAAAGGCCAGUGGAGGUCACAAGAAUAAAGCAAACUUUCCAGAUUCUUUGUCCUCUGAGAUGACGGAGGCCUUGGGUGAGGCAGAAAUGGCAGAAAAGCUUCAGGGGGCUAACUUUGCUACAGAAACCAGAGAUUCCGCCGCCCCCCCCCCCUACUCUCCAGCAUUUCUAACUGCAGGCUGCCUUCAAGGCUGCAAUCAGAGAAGUCUCUCUGGAACUGGAGGGUGAAAUCAUAUCCCUGUCACUAAGAAGCGUCGGGUGUUAUGUCCCAACCACAUAGGCUCACCCAGAGGACAGGUCAGAUAAUGGAGAACUAAGGUCUGGGAGGGGGCAGCAAAGGGCAGCACGCCUGUGCUUACUUCCCAGGCUUUGGCAGGGAGGCCGCCCCAGGGGUUGGCAGGAAGCUGACUCAGGGAGCUGCUUCCCCCACAGGCAUGUCCUUGGUAUGGUAGAGACACUAGAUAUCUUGAGCCCUUGCUAUAGGAACAUGGGAGGUUCAAGGUUUUUUAAGUGUUGGUCCCACCACUGCUUGCAGACCCAAUGUCCUUGCUCCCUUCGUCCAGGGUAAGCUGUGUAGCCACACUGCAGCAGGCCUGGCCUGAGCAGGAGGGAGGAACUGCAGCGUUGUCUUGACUGUUGGAGAUGGGGAUUCUGUUCUCAGCAUCUAGGAAGCAGCUGGAAACCUGUUUUCAGUUCUGCAUCUGGUGGGUUCAGUCAAUUUUGUAUUAUCUGUUUAAAGUCCCUUCCACUCUGCCUGAGGGAAGCCCAGCCCAUGGAUCCUUUUAGGAUCUAUUUCAGUGGCCCUGUACUCUUAGGGUGAGGCAGGUGUGCAUACCUUCCAUUCUUACAGCUUGACACUCAUCCUUAGAGGGUGGAGAUCCUGUUCCAACUUAAACAGGGAUUCCACCUCUUGGGCUACAGAACUAGUCAGUGAGAGUGGUGUAUAGAUGGCUUUUGGGGUCACUGGGACUUGAGUGUCUUCUAAGACUCUGGUCCAGGAUGCCCAAGGGCUUCUUGUCUCAGGUGAAAGAUAGUUAAUCAGAAUGUCAUUUCCUGUCUCUACUCCUAAGGGAGGCAGGCAUUUUGAAUGUAUAGAUCCAUAGAAAUCAAUAGGGAAAUUGCUAUUUUUUUAAGAAGAGAAUCUUAAAAAGCAAUAAUUUAACUGAAGUAGACGUGCAAUGUAAGGAACCCUGAGCCAAGAGCAGGUCUCCUGGGUUCGGGCUGUGCUUGAGUGCCAGUGAUACUGUGACAUUGGAUGAGUCAGGCCUCAUUUCUGGGACUGGUUUCUUCAGCUAUAAAGGGGAUUGCACUGGUCUCCACUGAGGCCAGUUCUUUGUGGAAUGUCAGGCAUCCUAUGCCCCAGAGGAUGUGUUCUGAGUAACAGGCAGAUCUGAAGUGGUAGAAUGUGCGGGGAAGCCUAGAUCAGAGCUUCUACAAUGUUCCUCCAGGGAGGGCUGGGACAUCUUCCCUCCCUCCUGGAUAGACUCAAGGGGGUCGUCUGUAGCUGGCACUGACUUCAGGCCCUGACAGUUGCCGUCUUUGGAGUCUACUAUGGCUCAGUUGCUAAAGAGAUUCAGAAGGGCCUGACUCCUGCUUGGGUUCACUUUGUACAGUGGGCCAUCGCUAAGAUGAUGGAACCAUUCUCCCCCACUCCUCCAAUGGGAUUUGUACAGCGGUGACUGCAUGGGAGGUGGUGCUGUCUGCAUGGGACAGUACAGAUUUCCUCUUCCCCUGUCACUCCACCGGCACUGACUCCGAUUGACCGAAGAAACUGCUUCCUCUUUCCCAAGGAUGGGUCCUACACCUGCCCUCCCUACCCCACGUGAAAGGCACCUUGUGUUGGAUGUAGCCAGACAUGGCCGAAGCUUAGAGAUGGACCCUUGGACCCUUUUUCCCCAACCAAAGAGGCAGGCUUUCACCCAGAAAGGGAGUCUGGACUGCUGCAUCCAAUAGUCUCGUAGCUGCUGCUCCAGGAGGUCCACCAUUCACCCUGAAGGUUGCUGCUGUGCCUGGCAAGUCAUUGAGCUGAGUGCACCUCAGGACCCAGAGGUUCCCUUUCUAGGGAAAAACUGCUGCAUCUUCAGUACACAAGGAAGACCGGUCAUAGCUACCACUUCUGUCACCUGGUCCUGAUGCGAGCCUUCAGCGUGCAAUAUGUGCUGCUAACCAGUCUAACACCAGGAUGCCUGGCUUGUCAGAACAAGUCCCCCAUAACCACUAGAACCCCCAGACCAGCUAGAUUUGGUAGGUACCCACCAUGAAUGCUAGGGUUACUGCACAGGCCCCUUCUCUAGAUUCUUGUGUGAAACCAUUGGCUCCUCAACAAGCAGAAAGGGAAGGCAGGAGAGCAGACCAUCCACAAGUGGAGUGAGCCAGGAGCUGCUCAAAGCAUUUACACCAAAGAAAACAUUUCAGAAGCCAGGGACUCUGUAACUCGAGCCCUGGCAGAAGGAGCCUGGGUCUGAAACCCAAGGGGUUUCCUAGUGGGCUUCUGGUCAGCUCCCUUCCCUGCAGGAGCAAUCUCCUCCCUCAGUCCAUUCCUGCAUUCCCUCUGAGGGGCGGGAGGAAUGCCAGCAGGGGAGAUGGCAGGACCUAGACACAUCCUCAGGACUCUCCCAGCCUCCCUUGCCAUGGCAACGCUGCUAUUUUUAUCCUGUUGUUCAUGAUGCUCAAAGCUCUGACUUUCUCUGUUCCAGAGAGCCCAGCUGCCUUCUGCCCCCAUCCCUUAGCAUAGCACCUUCUCGAAGAGGCAAAGGGAUAAGGAAGAAAGGGGGACACAUUUAAGUCAUUCCUUCACUAGAGGGACCUCUUUGGUUUGCUGGCUUAAAUAACCAGUUUUGUGUUUUCUGAGAGGUCUGAACUAUGAUCGAGUAGGAAGGGCCACUGCUCGGGGUGCCUUCCCAGGGAGCCCUGACAUGCACUUCUGCCUCUUUUGGGAACACCUGAGGUUCUGAGGAAUGUCCUGUUGGCAUAAGCAAUUCAUAAAGUACUCUGCUUGGCUAAUUAGCAGUCAGAUAACUUGAUGUUGCUGUGGAAUCUAAGCUACUUCUCCUCUAUCCCUCUACCAAGAAGCCAGGACAUAUGCGCUUGCAUCUUUGUCCAAUCAUUCUAUCCAAAGCAAGGCAGCAUAUAUAUCAUCCCCAGGCUAGAAAGCAGACUCCCUCCAGUUUAGCCAUAUUCCGUUGAGGUCCCACCUCCAUACGCCUGCAAGGGGCUAAGGAUGAAGCCCAGGGCCACAGAACCACUAGGCAAAUGCUCUCCCACUGAGUUCCAUCUCUAGCCUGGAGCACAUUGUGAUUUUGAAGGCUGCAGUUAGUGAAAGGCAUUCUUUAGCUGUUCUUUCUGCCACCCUUCCAUGGCCCAGCCUUUACCUGUCUUCCUGUGUCCCAACUUCCACUACACUGGCAGGGAAUCCCUGAGAAUCACUGGUGCUAAUGGUCUCCAUCUAUACUCCCCUUUGUUGAUCUGUGGGGUGUGAACUCAGCAUGUGGGGUGGCUGGGCUAUGGGGUACAUUCUAUGUAUAUCCCCAACACCUCUACCCUGGAAGCAGGUCCGGAUCUUAACCCAGCAAAACACCAAUCUACAUCUUGUUAACCUUUGCUUCGGUUGAGUUGGCUCCUGAAUGGUUGUUUUCCUAGGGUGGCUGAGACCCAUUUACUAAGCCUCGUUGGUUUUAUUUUGGCUCUAGCUGCACAGUUUCCGAAAUCUAUGCAUCUGGAGUAAGCAUUUUCUGGUCGCCACUGAAAAGCAUGCUGGCAGAUUCUGCUCUGAUAAUUGCUGUAAUAAACACACUUUAUUACG